rnacentral:rRNA from 1 species
AGCGAACGCUGGCGGCAGGCCUAACACAUGCAAGUCGAACGAACCUUUCGGGGUUAGUGGCGGACGGGUGAGUAACACGUGGGAACGUGCCUUUAGGUUCGGAAUAACUCAGGGAAACUUGUGCUAAUACCGAAUGUGCCCUUCGGGGGAAAGAUUUAUCGCCUUUAGAGCGGCCCGCGUCUGAUUAGCUAGUUGGUUGAGGUAAUGGCUCACCAAGGCGACGAUCAGUAGCUGGUCUGAGAGGAUGAUCAGCCACAUUGGGACUGAGACACGGCCCAAACUCCUACGGGAGGCAGCAGUGGGGAAUCUUGCGCAAUGGGCGAAAGCCUGACGCAGCCAUGCCGCGUGAAGGAUGAAGGUCUUAGGAUUGUAAAAUUCUUUCACCGGGGACGAUAAUGACGGUACCCGGAGAAGAAGCCCCGGCUAACUUCG